AACGAACGCUGGCGGCAUGCCUAACACAUGCAAGUCGAACGAGACCUUCGGGUCUAGUGGCGCACGGGUGCGUAACGCGUGGGAACCUGCCCUUAGGUUCGGAAUAACUCCCCGAAAGGGGUGCUAAUACCGGAUAAUGUCUUCGGACCAAAGAUUUAUCGCCUUUGGAUGGGCCCGCGUUGGAUUAGCUAGUUGGUAGGGUAAAAGCCUACCAAGGCGACGAUCCAUAGCUGGUCUGAGAGGAUGAUCAGCCACACUGGGACUGAGACACGGCCCAGACUCCUACGGGAGGCAGCAGAGGGGAAUAUUGGACGAUGGGCGAAAGCCUGAUCCAGCAAUGCCGCGUGAGUGAUGAAGGCCUUAGGGUUGUAAAGCUCUUUUACCCGGGAUGAUAAUGACAGUACCGGGAGAAUAAGCUCCGGCUAACUCCGUG
rnacentral:rRNA from 1 species